rnacentral:lncRNA from 1 species
CACAUAAACAGAGUGAACUUUCUACUCUUUCUUCACAACUUUUCUUCCUCAACUCUUCUUUUUUUUCACUUUCCUUUUUUUUGAUACUCUGUUUUUUUAUAACUAAGAACAAGAGCAGAUAUAACACUUACACACACUUUUUUUUGAAACAAGACACAACCGUCAGCGUUCUAACUUGAUAGGCUCAAAGUUUACGCGAAGGAUGAUACCGGUUUUAGAUUUUCUUUAGGGAUUUGUAGAUAUAAAAGAGGCACAAAGGACACACAAAGGAUAUGAUGAUCAGUAACUAAACAAAACUCUAAUGGACUGAAACUUAACCAAACUCACAAGAAAAACAGAUUGAAACAAAGGGCUAAUGCAAUUUUUUUAUGGCUUUUUGGUGGAUAGGACGAACAAGAUAUAUAUAUGUAGCUAAGGGUAAAAAUCCUACCGUGGAAACUUGAGCUUUGAUACCAGAUGGUGAGGUCGUUGUUCCAAUCUUCACGACGUAGGAUAACUAGCUGAAGAUCAGCCGAUAACUUGCUGCAAGCAGCGAGGAUAACUAGUGCAACCUGACGACACGCACAAGGAGCCAACCACCGUCUCUAUACGGCAGCCUGAACCAAGGAUUCGCCCAACCACAC